rnacentral:tRNA from 1 species
AAUUAUAUAAGUUAAUAUAAACUAGUGACCUUCAAAGCCAUAAAUAAGAAACUACCCUUUAUAAUUA